GCCGAAAUAGCUCAAAUGGGAGAGCGUUAGACUGAAGAACUAAAGGUCCCUGGUUCAAUCGGGUUUCGGCA
rnacentral:tRNA from 1 species